UGGGGUUCCCGAGCGGCCAAAGGGAGCAGACUGUAAAUCUGCCGUCAUCGACUUCGAAGGUUCGAAUCCUUCCCCCA
rnacentral:tRNA from 3 species